GUCUUUGAACGCAAGUUGCGCCCGAGGCCACUCGGCCGAGGGCACGCCUGCCUGGGCGUCACGCCCCCGAUCGCUCCCCCGCGGCAUGGCCUGCCCCGGGGAGGCGGAGACUGGCCGCCCGUGCGCCACUCGAAGGCGAGCGGUUGGCCCAAAUGCAGGUCAAAGUGCGGUGCGGCACGACGCGUGGUGGUUUAGAGCCGCGAUCGAUCGCGAAUCGGACGCAGUGCCUGCGUCAGGCCGCACCCGUGCGACACGUGGGACGCAGCUUGCCCGUUUCGGCGGGAGCUCGGACCGCGACCCCAGGUCAGGCGGGGCCACCCGCUGAGUUUAAGCAUAUCAAUAAGCGGAGGAGAAGAAACUUACGAGGAUUCCCCUAGUAACGGCGAGCGAACCGGGAGGAGCCC
rnacentral:rRNA from 1 species